CCUACGGGGGGCUGCAGUGGGGAAUAUUGCACAAUGGGCGCAAGCCUGAUGCAGCCAUGCCGCGUGUGUGAAGAAGGCCUUCGGGUUGUAAAGCACUUUCAGCGGGGAGGAAGGCGGUGAGGUUAAUAACCUCAUCGAUUGACGUUACCCGCAGAAGAAGCACCGGCUAACUCCGUGCCAGCAGCCGCGGUAAUACGGAGGGUGCAAGCGUUAAUCGGAAUUACUGGGCGUAAAGCGCACGCAGGCGGUCUGUCAAGUCGGAUGUGAAAUCCCCGGGCUCAACCUGGGAACUGCAUUCGAAACUGGCAGGCUAGAGUCUUGUAGAGGGGGGUAGAAUUCCAGGUGUAGCGGUGAAAUGCGUAGAGAUCUGGAGGAAUACCGGUGCCGAAGGCGGCCCCCUGGACAAAGACUGACGCUCAGGUGCGAAAGCGUGGGGAGCAAACAGGAUUAGAUACCCCUGUAGUC
rnacentral:rRNA from 1 species